GAAAACUCCGGUGGUUGAAGAUGGGCAUGCGUUGUAUUAGCUGGAUGGUGAGGUAACGGCUCACCAUGGCGAUGAUACAUAGGGGGACUGAGAGGUUUUCCCCCCACACUGGUACUGAGACACGGACCAGACUCCUACGGGAGGCAGCAGUGAGGAAUAUUGGUCAAUGGACGCAAGUCUGAACCAGCCAUGCCGCGUGCAGGAAGAAGGUGCUAUGCAUUGUAAACUGCUUUUAUACGGGGGUAAUUACAGAUACGUGUAUCUGGAUGAAAGUACCGUAUGAAUAAGGAUCGGCUAACUCCGUGCCAGCAGCCGCGGUAAUACGGAGGAUCCGAGCGUUAUCCGGAUUUAUUGGGUUUAAAGGGUGCGUAGGCGGUCAGGUAAGUUAGAGGUGAAAGCUCGAUGCUCAACAUCGAAACUGCCUCUGAUACUGUCUGACUAGAGUGUAGUUGCGGAAGGCGGAAUGUGUGGUGUAGCGGUGAAAUGCUUAGAUAUCACACAGAACACCGAUUGCGAAGGCAGCUUUCCAAGCUAUUACUGACGCUGAGGCACGAAAGCGUGGGGAGCGAACAGGAUUAGAUACCCUGGUAGUCCACGCAGUAAACGAUGAUAACUCGUUGCCGGCGAUACACAGUC
rnacentral:rRNA from 1 species